GACGAACGCUGGCGGCGUGCUUAACACAUGCAAGUCGAACGGAAAGGCCCUGCUUUUGUGGGGUGCCCGAGUGGCGAACGGGUGAGUAAAACGUGAGUAACCUGCCCUUGACUUUGGGUUAACUUCAGGAAACUGGGGCUAAUCCCGGAUAGGAGUUCCUGCUGCAUGGUGGGGGUUGGAAAGUUUCGGCGGUUGGGGAUGGACUCGCGGCUUAUCAGCUUGUUGGUGGGGUAGUGGCUUACCAAGGCUUUGACGGGUAGCCGGCCUGAGAGGGUGACCGGCCACAUUGGGACUGAGAUACGGCCCAGACUCCUACGGGAGGCAGCAGUGGGGAAUAUUGCACAAUGGGCGGAAGCCUGAUGCAGCAACGCCGCGUGCGGGAUGACGGCCUUCGGGUUGUAAACCGCUUUCGCCUGUGACGAAGCGUGAGUGACGGUAAUGGGUAAAGAAGCACCGGCUAACUACGUG
rnacentral:rRNA from 1 species